rnacentral:rRNA from 1 species
UAAAGGGUCCGUAGGCGGGCCAAUAAGUCAGUGGUGAAAUCCUAUCGCUAAACGAUAGAACUGCCAUUGAAACUGUUGGUCUUGAAUUAUUUUGAAGUUGGCGGAAUGAGUAGUGUAGCGGUGAAAUGCAUAGAUAUUACUCAGAACACCGAUUGCGAAGGCAGCUGACUAAGAAUAUAUUGACGCUGAUGGACGAAAGCGUAGGUAGCGAACAGGAUUAGAUACCCUGGUAGUCUACGCAGUAAACGAUGGAUACUCGUUGUCGGGAAAAUUGAGACUCGGUGGCUAAGCGAAAGUGAUAAGUAUCCCACCUGGGGAGUACGAUCGCAAGAUUGAAACUCAAAGGAAUUGACGGGGGCCCGCACAAGCGGUGGAGCAUGUGGUUUAAUUCGAUGAUACGCGAGGAACCUUACCUGGGCUUAAAUGUAGAUUGACAGGACUGGAAACAGUUUUUCCUUCGGGCAAUUUACAAGGUGCUGCAUGGUUGUCGUCAGCUCGUGCCGUGAGGUGUCAGGUUAAGUCCUAUAACGAGCGCAACCCCUAUCGAUAGUUGCUAGCAGGUAAUGCUGAGGACUCUAUUGAGACUGCCGGUGCAAACCGUGAGGAAGGUGGGGAUGACGUCAAAUCAUCACGGCCCUUACGUCCAGGGCCACAC